ensembl:lncRNA
CUCCACUCCUGACAAAUAUUUGCUCUGCUGGGUACACAGCCCUGGGCUGGCAGUCACGGUGGAAUGCAGGCAGUGCAUACCCACAGGACACACACAGCCCCAGACCAAGUGGCCCCGAGCUCCUGUGUGCUGGACAGUUCCUUUCCUGUGGCUGCUGUAACAAAUGACCACAAAUGCGGCAGCUUGACACAACAGGAAUUUAUUCUCUUCCAGUUCCGGAGGUCAGAAGUCUGAAAUGGAGGGGUCAGCAGGGCUGGGCUGUUCCUGCAGACGAUCACCAGGAUGAUCACUCUUGGGCUGUUUUGGCCCGACUGGCAAGUGUUGCAUAAGUCAAGAUGUCAAGAGGAGCCCCCCCCCCAAAUAAGAAGCAAGCACCAGAUGGAACUUUAAAAGAAAUACUAAAUACCUUCACCACUUCUGCCUUUCUAGAAGCAAGAUGAGGAGAGGCAGUGUUUCAUCUUCAGCCUGGGUCGUGCAAGCCAAGGGUGUCUGUAAUGUCCCUUGGUGGUGGUUCCAGGAUGAAACAGCACACCCAAGAGAGUACCUUCAAGUGGAGGCCAGAUGCAAGACAGACCUGCAGUCCCAAACAUACCAAAGGCUCUUGAGCACAGGUGCCUCAGAACAGAACAUUUAAGAAAACUGCAGGCCUGGACUGUGGGUGAAGACAGCAGAGAACAGAACUAAUCCCCCCUAAACAAGACACUGUUUCCUGCCUUCUUUCCCACUGCUUCUUCUAGUAGCUUCUUAUCCCAUUGUUGCCAAACUUGAUAUGUGCAUGCUAAGUAGCUUCAUUUAUGUCCAACUAUUUGUGACCCCAUGGACUGUAGUCCACCAGGCUCCUCUGUCCAUGGGACUCUCCAGGCAAGAAUACUGGAGUUGGUUACCACGCCCUUCUCCAGGGUAUCCUCCUGACCCAGGGAUCGAAUCCAUGUCUCUUAUGUCUCCUGCAGGUUGACAGGUGGGUUCUUUACGACUAGCACUCUCUGGGAAGCCUGCCCAGCUCCAUAUCAACACACUAUUCUGUAAAUUCAUGGUGGACGCUGGGAUCCCCACAAGGAAAUGAAGAUCCCCAUUCAGGAACGAAGCACAUGUUACCUCAGAGUGACCCUCACUGAGGGUGAGGUAAGUGACCCUCACUUACCCUCACUGAGGGUAAGCCUCAGCCACACUGAGGAUAAGCCUCAGCCACAGUCAAGAAGAGCCUCACUGAGGACAGCCACCCCGAGCAAGGUCACAUCCUCACAUCAGGCAGCCCACGUCUAAGGACUGAUUGUCAUAGGAGGAUAAAGGGCAAGCCCUCUCACUCCCCCUCCCACUUCAAACCAGCUCUGGAGUUUGGUCCCAGCUGCAGCCAGAGGCAGCUCAAGGCUUCCACGGAAACAUCAGCAGAUCCUGCUACCCUUUCUCAUUCCAUCCUGCUCCACAUCAAAGGACUCUCCCAUCAGCAUAAUUCUCCAGUCUCAGAACUGGGAUUGGAAUAAUCCAUCCGAAGCUCUGGGUGAAGCCAAAACUGCAACACAGAAGCUUAGAGCAGAAGUCAGUUCAAGGGGAUACCGAACACAAGAACUGGCCUGGAUGCUGCUUGUGGAGCUCUGCAGAUCCAAGAGCCCAGGAGGGGGUGAGGAGGAAGAGAGAGAGACGCCACUCAGAGUGUAUUGCGCUGCUCAGACUGCUCUUCUGGAAAAUUUAGCCCUACGAAAGCCACCAGCUUUGCAGCUGUAAAUCAAUUUCAGUUAUUCCUCUCUUCCCUGCCUCAAUUCCUCUCUCCUCCUCUCUCUCUUCUUCCCUCCCUCCCUUCUCACCUUUCUUAUCUUUCUUCCCAUUCUUCUAACUUAAUUUUUUCCAAUGAUUAAAAAAGAAAACCUAUUUAUUAUAAGCAUUUUAGAAUGCAAAGUAUUAAUAUGGAAAGAAAACUAUCACUCAGAGAUAAUCACUAGUAAGUAACAUUCUUUAAAAAAUUUUUUUUCACAGAGACCGUUUUUAAAACCUUUAUUGAAUUUGUCACAAUGUUGCUUCUGUUCUAUGAUUUGUUUUUUUGGCCUCGAGGCAUGUGGGAUCUUAGCUCCGCGACCAGGGAUUGAACCUAUAUCCCCUGCAUUGGAAGACAAAGCCUUAACCACUAGGCUGUCGGGAAAUUCCCAUCACUAGUGACAUUCUGAUAGUUCCUUUUGGCCUUACUAAUGUACAAUUUUUAAAAAUCAUAGAUGAGAACAUACUUGAGGUAGACUCUUGCAGUGAAGACCUUCCAUUGGUGCAUGCUUCCUUCUAUCCAAGCCCUUGACUGAUGCCCUCCCAGGCUGACUUUGAGCUUGGUCAUCCUGACUAGCUUUGGCUAACAUUGAUGUAAAGGCCUGGAUCUAAGUCCUUUCCCCCAGUACACACACACACACACACACACACGUAUGUAAAUAUGACAAGUAUACCCCAAAUAUUUAUCUAUUCUCAUUCUGAUAUCACACAUUAUCACAGUUUCACAGUGUAUUUUCUACAUCAGAGAGAAUGUCUCUAGUAUUACUCUUAUUUUUUAUAGAUUUCUCAGCACUUACAAUGUUGAUUCUUUCAAGUAACCGUGUGUUGGACACUUGCCAUGUUUUGGAGCUGCUUCUUUAGAGCAUCUUUGCUUUACAAACUCUGCUUUUUCCUCAUCUCCCAAGAGAGAAGCCAGGAAAUGUGAUUUCCCUGCCUCCCUUGCAGCUAAGGAAUAGAUAUGUGACCAAGGCUCCAGCAAUCCCACCCAAUCGAAUGAAAUUUUAGAAAUAAAACAACAUGAGAAAGUGUGCUCUGUGUAGAAUCUGUUUGUUUGAGAGGGUGACUACUGACAUCUAGCUUUGACAGCCAAUAGCAGCUGUGAGGCUGAGUUUCAGGCAUCAGUGUGGCAUUAGUGCUGGUGGCAGUACUAGUCACAACUGGUAUGCAUGCCUGGCAUCAAUGCUGAUGGGCUCAGCGCCCAGCAGUGGGAAGGCUGGUUCCCUCAUGAGGUCAGUUCUGCAACAU